CUAAACUGAACUCGGUACGUCCGUUCACGGAAACAAACAAAGAACCUCGGGUAAAUACCUAAACUUGCCAACUAGGCUCAUGCGUUAACGCUCUUAAAUCGGAAGACUGG